CAGGAUCAAAUAUUGUGAGACCGUACGUAUUUGACCCGGAGUCUGACCCUGAACAGGAAGAGGCAGCUGUCCAAGUGUUGCAGCAAAGGCUACAGCUGGAUGUCCAUGCGUGGUGCUUAUGUGGGAAUUGUGCAACAAUGCCCACAGAGCAAGAAAAUGUGUGCUGCAUGGAGAUCCCACAGGUUACAAGAAGAGUAAACCAGCUCCAGGAUCCACCAAGAUGUAUGCUUGACCAUCCUGGUCUUGAGCCUGUAUGUUUAAAUAUAUUCUCUUUGCAGAAUGCUAAUAACAUAUAUCGAGCUGACUAUGGGCCUUUGCGGCUUAGAAGUUUAGAGCAGUAAGUUUCCCUUUGCAUUCAAAGAAUAACAUUUGCCAAAUAAUAUUUUGAACUUGACUUUUGAUUUUACUGUAUGUCAAUAAAUGUAAGUAAAACAAAUGUUUGUAUUAUGUUAUCACUCUAUGUAGUAAAAGUACACAGUUAAGUAUUGCAUUUGAAGUGUGCAGGACAACACCCAGGGUUACUGAAAAAGAAAUGGCAUAUAAUUCUACACACACUUCAAUUAUACAGAGUUGCAGCGGUAUUCUGUGUUGUAGCAAAUAACAGUUGUCAGACCAUGGUCAUUUACCUAUCUAAUGUAUUCAAUUCAUUUUAGCUAAAUAUCAACUUUUUUAGCAUACUAACAUGAAAUACAGUUUGAGUUAUAAUUAUAGUCAAGGUUUGUUGCAAUUCCGUGCAAAGGAUAAUAGUAAUAAUAAUAUUAGUGUAAUACUGUAUGCUGUAAAAAUGUUUCUUCUCAGACUGUUACCAUACCACUGC